AACUGCAGAGACUAAUUCAUCUGGUCGAAUAGGACCACAAAGAACGAUAGACAAAGUUGUGGCUCCUCAAAAGUUUUCCAUGCACCUAACUUUUAAGGCCAUCACAUAUCUCAUAUUCACAUCUUUCAUCAUGGCACUAAACAAGGACCAAAUCUACAACCUUGAAUAUCAAGCUCUCCCACCUAUUAUCAUAACUCAGGAUAAUACACUUCAUCAUCGCCCUCCACAGCCUGUUUCAGACUAUGCUUUUCCCAUAUUUGCCAUUGUUGUUCUCAGCAUCAUUGCUGCCAUUUUGUUACUCCUCAGCUACAUCACUUUUUUAACCAAAUUCUGCUCUAACUGGAAUCAUGUGAAUCCAACGAGAUGGAUUUCGGUUCUUCGAGCUGGAUGGAACGAUGAAGAUCACUUCAUAGCAUUAUCUCCUACAUUAUGGAACCGGGGAUUAGACGAAUCGGUCAUCAGAGAAAUCCCGUCUUUUCAGUUUAUAAAAGGUGAAUGUGAAGAUCAAAGUGUGUAUGGUUGUGUGGUUUGUUUGACAGAGUUUCAAGAACAAGAUGUGAUAAAAAUUCUACCAAACUGUAACCAUGCUUUUCACUUGGAUUGCAUUGAUAUUUGGCUUCAAACAAAUUCUAAUUGUCCUCUUUGUAGAUCAAGCAUUUCAGGCAAUGCAACAAGUACUCCAUUUGACAUUAUCAUAGCUCCAAGCUCUUCUCCUCAGAAUUCUUCUCAGUUACUCUCUAACUUAGCAAGUGAUGAAGAUUUCGUCGUCAUCGAAUUAGGCGGAGAAGAAAACGAGGUUCAACAAGAAAAAGAUGACUCAAGGGGAAGCAUAGGACAUAGUAGAAAGUAUCACUCUACAAGAGAAAUGAAACCAAAGUGUCCUUAUGUUUCCAUCAUGGGAGAUGAGUACACUGAUAUAAUCAGAAAGAAAGAUGACUUGUUUUCGAUUCAACCGAUUCGAAGAUCUUUCUCAUUGGAUUCUGCAAAUGAUAGACAAAUGUUCAUGGAUGUUCAAGCCAUUAUACAACAAAAUGAAGCUAGUGCAAGGUCCAUCUUUCAUGCAUGCUAAGAGAUAGGGUCCAUCUUUCUCACAUUCACACGGUCAAAAUAUCAAAAUAUCAGUAACAUUUAUAAGCCGCACACAAGGUCUAAAGAGGCGAAGGCCCAAUAACGACGUGAGGCAGUAUUUGGCACAGAACAUGUAGACUCUUUUCUCUUGCUGAACAGAGGAUAGUGCGCCACUUCACAUCCAAUGGUCGCCGAUGUAUUGACCAUGAAUACAAAAUUCUGACUGCGGAGCAAGGAAGGUGUAAUUUGGAGAAACUAUUUAUCAGAAGCAAAGAGGUUAAAGAGCAAGACAGUGAGAAACUAUAAGUAGUAGCUUGAGAAAUGUUAUGUAUGGAAAUUAUCAAUGUUUUUCUUUAGGCCACACUACAAUGAUAUGGAUGUAGGGAAACAUUAUUAUUAUACAGCAAUAAAUGUGUCCCUUAUCUAUAGGUAGAAAAUUCAAAGUCUAGAGAAUAUCCUUACACUGGUUGGUAUUCCACCUCUAUCUAUGUCCCUACCAAGUCUCAAUCACUAGUACCUUCCCCGUGGGUAGAGCGUUAUUAGACAUUUGGUAAUGCCAAAAUAACUCAUGAAGGGUACACCAAGAAUCAAAUGAAGAUAACAGCCUUAUCAUGUAAAUAACUUAAAACUUGAGGUCUUCUUUCUCUGUAGAAUGUGACUCCAACAAAGCUGUCACAAGUAUUGCAGCAAGUCACCAAUUGUUCAAAUACUCUUA